UACGUAGGGUGCAGGCGUUAAUCGGAAUUACUGGGCGUAAAGCGCGUGCAGGCGGUUUCUUAAGUCAGAUGUGAAAGCCCCGGGCUUAACCUGGGAACUGCGUUUGAAACUGGGAGACUUGAGUGUGGCAGAGGGGAGUGGAAUUCCACGUGUAGCAGUGAAAUGCGUAGAUAUGUGGAGGAACACCGAUGGCGAAGGCAGCCCCCUGGGUUGACACUGACGCUCAUGCGCGAAAGCGUGGGGAGCAAACAGG
rnacentral:rRNA from 1 species